UUUUCUUCCAAUGAUGAUGAGGUAUCCUUUACACGCAAUUCUUGUGAAGCUGUCUCCCAAGCCUUGUCUCCUCGAGUUUGCCUCUUAGAAAAAUUUCCUUCUCUCGUAUCAUCAAAAUUUUCUCGUCUCUUUUCUUCCAUCAAAGCUUCAUGUUAGCUCUUAGCAAUAUAUGAAUGAACUGAAAGAGACUCAACAAGAUCCUCCCAACCUGUUGCACCUCGUAUUGUAGCUGCAGUCCUCAAUAAUGCUUCUCGAGGUAAUUUC
rnacentral:lncRNA from 1 species